ACGGGAGGCAGCAGUGGGGAAUAUUGCACAAUGGGGGAAACCCUGAUGCAGCGACGCCGCGUGAGCGAAGAAGUAUUUCGGUAUGUAAAGCUCUAUCAGCAGGGAAGAAAAUGACGGUACCUGACUAAGAAGCUCCGGCUAAAUACGUGCCAGCAGCCGCGGUAAUACGUAUGGAGCAAGCGUUAUCCGGAUUUACUGGGUGUAAAGGGAGCGUAGACGGAACAGCAAGUCUGAUGUGAAAGGCGGGGGCUCAACUCCUGGACUGCAUUGGAAACUGCUGAUCUUGAGUGUCGGAGAGGUAAGCGGAAUUCCUAGUGUAGCGGUGAAAUGCGUAGAUAUUAGGAGGAACACCAGUGGCGAAGGCGGCUUACUGGACGAUAACUGACGUUGAGGCUCGAAAGCGUGGGGAGCAAACAGGAUUAGAUACCCUGGUA
rnacentral:rRNA from 1 species